AACGCGUAGACAACCUGCCUUUGAGAUGGGGACAACAGUCCGAAAGGACUGCUAAUACCGAAUGUUGUGGAACUUCCGCAUGGAGGCUCCACCAAAGAUGACCUCUUCCUGAAAGUUAUCGCUCGAAGAUGGGCCUGCGUCUGAUUAGCUAGUUGUGGGGCAACGGCCUACCAAGGCGACGAUCCAGUAGCCGGUCUGAGAGGAUGAACGGCCACAUUGGGACUGAGACACGGCCCAGACUCCUACGGGAGGCAGCAGUGGGGAAUCUUCCGCAAUGGGCGAAAGCCUGACGGAGCAACGCCGCGUGAGUGAAGAAGGUUUUCGGAUCGUAAAGCUCUGUUGAGAGGGACGAGAGGCAAGGCUAGGAAAUGAGCUUUGUAGGACGGUACCUUUCGAGGAAGCCACGGCUAACUACGUG
rnacentral:rRNA from 1 species